CAACCAUAUAUACAUGCUUAUUAGACUAUGAAAUAUUCAUUUACUUUUUACUGCUUAUGAGCAUUGAGUGUGGUCAAGCUGUGUAGAUCCUUAGGAGCUUGUCAUGUGUUUACAUCAAGAUUCACUUGCACGCUCACUCACACAUGUUGCUUCUACUCUGAAAGAAUGCAUCCACAUAUAUCCACCCAUUUCCAUCUCCAGAACCACCCAAAAAUAUUCUACUCCUAAUCCAGGAGAGAAUAGCCAAAAACAUUCUCCUAUUUCUGUUUUUCCCUGUGAAAUAAAUGCUCAAGAUAUUUCAGUUACUACCACUUGCUACAUUAUUUAAAGAGGUGAGUGCUCUAAAAAAGAAGAAGAUACGAGGAAAUAAAAAGGGGCAAGUGCCCGGAACCUCGAAAGAAAAGAAAAAGUGAGACGAGAGGUAAAAAUGGACAAGUGUACGACAGUAGAAUUAGGGGUACAAGAUACCCACCUGAGAGAAAAGAAAAAGAAAAUAUAGAGCAUCUCAUUCUCCUCAAAAAGUUUCAAUAGAGCAAGAAAGGUAUGUAUCCCUCAAAAGAGCACAAGUAGUAUAAGACUUUCACCAUUGUUAUCACCAUUAUCACCAUACACCAUUCAUUCGCCACACAUGCACAUCUUGAUUUGACUUAUUGACUUGUUCUUCUGGAUCCAUGGUUUGACUAUGCAAUAAAUGUCUUGUAAGUAUGUAUUAGCUGUCUCCCACCUGUGAGCUCCAGUUAUCAAAACCUUAUUAGAGUAGGGUGAGAGAGAAGGCAAUGCAAUUAUGCCUCAUACCAAAAAUACCACAUAAUUUGAGAGAAGGCAUACACCAUUACUGCCUUGGUAAGGAUCCAGAAAUACCACAAAAGAGAGACUAG
rnacentral:lncRNA from 1 species